CGUGAUAGCUCCGUCAUCGAGCGCCGUCCGCACGAGCGCUGUCCGCGACAGCCGUCCACGAGAGCGCCGUCCGCGUUCGCUGCCGUCCACGCGAGCCCCGUCCUCGAGCGCCGCCCGCGACCGCUGUGAUCUCGGGCGCAACUAGCACCGUCGCGGCCAUCGAGACCGCGGCCACCUCCCCUUAUCUCCGUACUCUUGCAUCUCGAGUUCUCGACCUCAACGGCGGUGAGUAUCACGAUGAUGGCGUUGCUGGGCCGGCAGAUCGGGGUGGCGGCGGUAGCUACCGCGUUCAUUGCCCUCGCGGCGUUUGGAUCUGCCGCAUCCUGGCUUAAAUCCUUCGUGAAGUCCACUGUCUCCGCUCAGCGCUCAUGACGUUCUUAUCUUCUCCAAGUCAUACUGCCACUUGUAGCGUCCCGGCGGCGGAGGUGGCGCGACAUCCUAAUGGAACGGGCACCGUGAUGUCCGGCGGCGUGUGCUCAUCCUCCCUUCCUGCGAGAUUGCAUUCGUCUAGCAGAGCAUCAUGUUGCCAUUGACUUCUAAGCCCUUCUCAGGGUUAAGAAUGAGGCUUGAGUCUACAUAUUUGUACGAAGUCCAGUAUUGGUCACUGCAGUUGAAGGUUACUCUGAUGUAUAUAUUGACUACUGCCAUUGAGUCCAGGUUUCUCUAUUUUUACUACUACCAUUGAAGUCAAAUCAGGUUGUGUUGACACCGUUUUUGGGCACGUGUCUAGGAUGGCAGGAUAAGGUGGCAGUACGAUGUUUACA